UACGGAGGGUGCGAGCGUUGUCCGGAAUCACUGGGCGUAAAGGGCGCGUAGGUGGCGCGGGCAGUCAACGGUGAAAGUUCGGGGCUCAACCCUGAAUCGGCCGUCGAUACUCCCGGGCUUGAGCACUGUAGAGGCAGAUGGAAUUCCUGGUGUAGCGGUGAAAUGCGCAGAUAUCAGGAGGAACACCGGUGGCGAAGGCGGGUCUCUGGGCCGAUGUCUGACGCUGGAGGAGCGAAAAGUGCGGGUGGGAGCAAACGGAUUAGAACCGUA
rnacentral:rRNA from 1 species